UACGGAGGGGGCGAGCGUUGUCCGGAGUUACUGGGCGUAAAGCGCACGCAGGCGGUCUGCUAAGUUUGGAGUGACAGUUGGUGGCUUAACUGCCAAAGUGCUUCGAAAACUGACAGACUUGAGGGCUUCAGAGGGACACGGAAUUCCGGGUGGAGUGGUGAAAUGCGUAGAGAUCCGGAGGAACACCAAAGGCGAAGGCAGUGUCCUGGGGAGUACCUGACGCUUCG
rnacentral:rRNA from 1 species